GUUUCAUGAAAAUGAAAUUAUACAGCAUGUACUCUGGUGACUGACGUUUUGCUCAGAAAAAUAUAUGAUGACAAGAGAUCAAUUAAGGAGAAAGAAGAAUGUUAAUCCAACAUGGAAAAGGCCCACCCUAAUUGAAGAAUGGUGAACAGGAUUCUCGUCAAUGAAUUAUAGCCUCAUUUUAAAAUUCACUCAUCCAUUUGAUAAUUAAUUAUAAUGGCAUCUUACAUAAUCAUCAGGGGCUUUCUCUGAAAAAUACAUGAAGGGUUUUGUGCUAUUAUCACCAGAGCCAGCAAUUCAACCUAAAUUCUGAGUGUAAUGGAAGCCGUUAAUCACUAUCAAGUUCAUCAUUUUUUUUUCAUGGCAAGUAAUAUUCAUAUCAGUGAUUGCUAUUCCACUAAGAAAUUCUAAAUGUUUCAUAAAAAUGAAACACCACAUAAUAAGAAACUAAAUCAUAUGAAACAAAAUUUUGACUUUUGAAUGUAUAAUCACUCAAGGCCAAUGGAUGAUAAUUUCUCUUUAUGAUUCUACAGGUAGCUCAUUUAUUUCUUUUCUCAUAUAUUUGACUUAUUAUAGGGCCCUGCAGCCCUUUCUGAGCAUCAUUAACUAUAUUUGUCGCAUCAUUAAUCUAAAAAUUAAAAGCUAUUUAAUACUUUUGUUUCAUCUGCUUAACUAAUUACACAGAAAUAAACCACAUUUUUCUAUUACUUUUCUCAGUGCCUUCUGCAUUUAUAUAGCCUUAAUGCAUUGUGCAUAUGUAUAGGUCUUUCUCUUAACCCAAACCCCUGCUGUUGUUCUUUCUGCACCCAUGUUAAUGACUCAUGAUCACUAUGACCUCACUAAUCUUUUACAUCUUCUACUCUAAUGACCUUGAUCAAUUCAUUCACUAUAUAGAGCUUGUUGUCAUUUGGCUUUGACUUACCAAACUUCAAAGUUUCAUCCCUGACUACUCUUCUAUUCUCAUUUUUUUUCCUCUUCUUCCUUAAGUGCAUGAUGACAUCAUUCCCUCCACCUCUCUGAAUAUUUUCAAGAUGUUUCUUUCUAUCAUUGCUUGCUCCUCUCUAUAUAUUCCGAACCCAGUGGGCAGAUACUGUACAGUUAUGCUCAUUAAUCAUAAAAAUCACAAACAUAUAGUUUCAGCUUAAACAUCUCUCCUGGGCCACAAACAUAUUUUUCCAGCAUGUUUUCUCAAAUACACUUCCAAAUAAAAAUCCUUAAUACAUCUUCCCCAUCUUGUGUUCUUUAUUCUACUUAAAGCCAUUCAGAAUACAAAUCUUGUCAUCUCUAUUUAUCUCCUUUCUCAUAAUUUUAUUCAAUCAUCAAGACUUGCUAUCUCACUUUCUAUGACUAUAUCAAGCUUAUAUCCUUAUUAAAAAAAAAUCCUACAGCAUUGCCUAGUUAAGUACCUCACAAUCUCUCACCUGAAAAAUUGCAACAGCUUUUUAGAAUAGUCUCCUUUUUUCCCUUUUCUCCCUACUCUAGUGAAUCUCUCCAGUCCGAUUUUAUCCUUUCUGUGUUUAAAAUCCUUUAUUAAUUCCAUACUGCAUGCAGAAUGUUGUCUAAACUUUGACUCUAACAUUAAAGCACAUUGACUAUAAAUCCCACUCCAUUUUCCAGAGUUUUUCUCUCAAUUUUUCUACUCCUGAAGUUUACAUUCUAGUCAAACCAAACUACUUUUCCCUUUUUCUGUCUUUCAUUAAAAUAAAUUAUCAUGAUAGUAUAACUUUGAAAAGCUUUGGAGUUUUAUUUUAUCUUAUUUUAGAUUCAGGGAGUACAUGUGCAGUUUUGCCACGUGGGUAUAUUGUGUGACGCUGAGGUUUGAACUUCUAAUGAUUCCCUUACGCAAGUAGUGAACAUAAUAUCUGAUAGGUAGUUUUCCAAGCCUUGGCCCCCACCUUCUUUUCCCCUGAAAUGCUUUUCACCUCUUACAUAAAUUCUGUGAUUUUGACUGUGCUUUGUUUGCCAAUUUUUUUUCUUAUGCUGGAAUAUCCUUCUCCAUUCAUCAUCACUUAACAAAAAAUUCUUACCACCUUGUUAAACUCCAUUGAUAUUCUACCUUUUCAUAGUGCUUUACUCAGUGCUUCUAGGCAGAAAUAAAAUCUCCUUCAUCUAUGUCCCUGAAUAUUCUACUUACCCUCUGCUCCCCCCGGCCCUUUUCUUAAAAAAAAAGAACAGAUGUCACAUUUUGCUAUAUUUUUAUGGAUCCCAGAUUAAACCCAAUUGAACAAAUAUUUAUUGUGCAUAUAAUAUAUGUCAGGCACUGUUUUGGAAGAAGACUAUCAGCGAAUAAUACAAAAAUCCCUGCCCUUCUGGGUAGGGAAGACAGACAAUGAGUAAUACUUAUGAUAAAUAAGUUAAUGAUAUAGUAAGUUAGAAGAUGAUAAAUGUUAUGGAAAAGAGGACACAUGAGAGCAGGGCAAAGGGAAUCAAGUUCUGGGGUGAUAUUCAGGUUACAGGUUGAAUUUGGAAUAGAAUGGAUGGGGUAUGCCUCACUGAGGAGAUAAUUUGAACAAAAUCAUGAAUAAGGUGAGGGGAAUAGCCAUGUGGAAAUCUGGGGAAUGACCUUUUAGAGAUGGAGGACAAACUGUGCAAAACCCUAGUCUUGAGUACACUUUGCUUAUAAAAAGGGGGUAAAACUAGGAGAUGAAGCCAGAGAGUUAGCAGGGGUUAUAUCAGGUAUUGUAGGUCACCAGGAACUUUGGCUUUUGCUUUGAAUGAAAUGGAGAACUGUUGGAUGGUUUUGAGCAGAGAGAUGAUAGUUAUUAUCUCACUUACUUUUUAUAAGAAGUAUCCUGGCUGUUGGGUUGAGAAUAGACAGUAAGGGAGCAAAGAGGAAAAUAGAAAUCCAUGCUAGGACAGAUGUUGAAUGGAACUAGAGUGGUAGCAGUGGAUGAAGUCAGAUAUAGUCAGUUUCUGGUUAUAUUGUGAGGGUAGAGCCAAUGGAUUUUCUGGUAUUUUGAAUGUGCGGUGUAAAGGAAAGGUAGAAAUUAAAGAUCAUGCUAAAGAUUAUGACCUGAGCAACUAUAAGUAUGGAAUUGCCUUUAUCAGAAAAAGGAAAAAUAGGGGAUAGAGCAAGUUUGGAGGGUAAAAUUGGCAGUACAGUUUUGGACAUGGUAGCUUUAGACAACCAAGUGAAGAUGUUAAGAGGAUUGCUGAAUAUACUAGCCUGGAAUUCAAGAGGGAGAUCUGAGAUAUAUAUACAUACACACAAAUACAUACAUACAUACAUACAUACAUACAUACAUACAUACAUUUAUGUGUAUGCACACACACACAUAAUUUACAGCCAUGAAACUAAGUAAAAUCACCAAGAAUAUGAGUGUUUAUAGAGAAGAGACCUUAGGGCUCUUCUACAUUAAGAGAUCAGUGAGAAGAAAAAGAAUCCUUACAGGAAAUGGAGAAAAAUGAUCAGUGAUGUUGGGGAAAAACCAAGAGAGAAUGGUGUCUUGGAUGCAAAUGAUGUAAGUACAUUCAGAAAGAGAAGUUAUUCACUCCGUCAAGUGUGGCAGAGAGAUGAUAUUUGAUGAAGAGUAGCAAUGAGCGCUGGAUUUACUAACAUGGAGGUCAUAGGGAAAAUGGGGUAGAGUAGCCAUGAGAACAAGAAUCAUCUCCAAGUCCAAUACUAUAAUGACCGUUGGAAGAAAGGAAAAUCUAAUGCUUGAAAGACUGGGAAGGGAAAAAGUAUUUUGAGAGGACAAUCAGAUGUUUAUUAGAGCCAAGAACUGAGGCAAACAUUCAGAAAUUUUCAGAUAGGGAAUUUUGAUAAUGAUGAAUGAUGAAUUUCACAGGGCAUAGUGAAAGAGUUUUAGAAGUUAAGAAGGGUAUUGAGGAAAUAAUUAGGGGAUCCGAUUUGCAUUGUUGGAAUAAAACAAUUGUGACAAGAGUGUGAAUUUGGGAGAUAGGGAGUGAUUGAAUUUUGGGAUUCCCUGUUGGAAGGUCAAGAGGAUUUGACAUAAUCUUGAGAUGUGGUCUCUGUCUCAUUAUACAGUCUUCCUCUUGACCUUGGAUAUAGGAGGGAGAAGGCCAACAGGAGCAUGAUCUCAAUUCAUUUUGUUGAGGAAUGGAGCUUACACCACAUGUGGAGGCGCCACCUUAACACUUUUGAUUAGACUGGCAGCUCUGGGGAAGCUGAGCAUCCCACUGUGCUGGCCCCCUUUAACUCCUGGCGACAGCUGUAAAAGGCCUCGGGGUGUGUGGUCAGAAUAAACAGUGACCACCUAUGCUGUGUUCAGCCAAGCGUAGCCCACCGAUUAGAUGAUGGGACAGCAUGCACUGUUUGCAUGCACCUUGAGGUUCCUCUUUGGAGAACACUGAUGCCAAGGAAAGAAGGAGUCAGGUAAAAUCAGCUAGGUGCCAUAGAAAAGCAGGGUGCCAGAAGAAUGGGUUAUAAAUAAAAAAGGAAAAGAACCAUGUUCGCUGUGUGAGAUCACAGUGCUUGUCAGAAGCUAAAUAAUACCAGUAUCACCUGGGAGGAACAGAAUAGAGCACCUGGGAGACACCAUUACAGAAAUAUUUGUGUGGAUUCAGGGUGAGGUGGAAGGCUAUGCUUCAGCAAUCAGGUAAAAGUUAGGAAAAUUAGAGUUAUUACUGUUAAUAUGAACUCUAUUUAUUAUCACUACACUAGUGAGGGCUGGAUACAUUUGGAUUACAUAGUAAUGAAGGCACAUGUUUCAUGUGCCUGCUGGACUGUAGACUUGAAUGGAAAAGGCUAUGCCAAUAUCCUCCACAGCAUACAGUUUAACAAAUUUGUUGACUUGUCUAUAUAAACUGGUUAUGAUAACUUCUACUUCUAAUGCUGAGAUGUGAUGUUGCAGGUGCUUUGUCAGUGUUCUGACAUCUCCCAUAACAAUUUUGAAUCAGAAGGGAAGAAGAAAAGAAAACCAAGUUAUGUUUAUGGGAUAAGCAGCUUUACAGGCUAAUUCAAUUUCUAU